rnacentral:rRNA from 1 species
ACGCUGGCGGCAGGCCUAACACAUGCAAGUCGAGCGGAAACGACACUAACAAUCCUUCGGGUGCGUUAAUGGGCGUCGAGCGGCGGACGGGUGAGUAAUGCCUAGGAAAUUGCCUUGAUGUGGGGGAUAACCAUUGGAAACGAUGGCUAAUACCGCAUAAUGCCUACGGGCCAAAGAGGGGGACCUUCGGGCCUCUCGCGUCAAGAUAUGCCUAGGUGGGAUUAGCUAGUUGGUGAGGUAAUGGCUCACCAAGGCGACGAUCCCUAGCUGGUCUGAGAGGAUGAUCAGCCACACUGGAACUGAGACACGGUCCAGACUCCUACGGGAGGCAGCAGUGGGGAAUAUUGCACAAUGGGCGAAAGCCUGAUGCAGCCAUGCCGCGUGUAUGAAGAAGGCCUUCGGGUUGUAAAGUACUUUCAGUUGUGAGGAAGGGGGUAGCGUUAAUAGCGCUAUCUCUUGACGUUAGCAACAGAAGAAGCACCGGCUAACUCCGUGCCAGCAGCCGCGGUAAUACGGAGGGUGCGAGCGUUAAUCGGAAUUACUGGGCGUAAAGCGCAUGCAGGUGGUUCAUUAAGUCAGAUGUGAAAGCCCGGGGCUCAACCUCGGAACUGCAUUUGAAACUGGUGAACUAGAGUACUGUAGAGGGGGGUAGAAUUUCAGGUGUAGCGGUGAAAUGCGUAGAGAUCUGAAGGAAUACCAGUGGCGAAGGCGGCCCCCUGGACA